rnacentral:rRNA from 1 species
UACGAAGGGUGCAAGCGUUACUCGGAAUUACUGGGCGUAAAGCGUGCAUAGGUGGUGAGUUAAGUCUGUCGUGAAAGCCCCGGGCUCAACCUGGGAAUGGCGAUGGAUACUGGCUCGCUAGAGUGCGGUAGAGGAGAGUGGAAUUCCCGGUGUAGCAGUGAAAUGCGUAGAGAUCGGGAGGAACAUCAGUUGCGAAGGCGGCUCUCUGGACCAGCAC